UUGAAUUGGUCAACAGUGGCAGAUCCGGAAAUGUUAAUAAAAGUGGGGUGUUGCACUGACUGCCAAACUGGAGCCUCUCCAGUCAUGCGUGAUGAUGCUUCAAUAAUUCCUUUAAAGCAUUUUUAAUGAAAGUACAUGCACUGAAAGAAGUAGUGGAAAAUAAUCAACAAAACAGAAGUCAUUAGAGGCGAUGCUUUCUAUAUUUAUACAUGUAUCUAGACUAGUAGUGGAUUGAUGUGCAAAUAAGGAGCAGCAGCCAAUGAAACAUUGCAAAUGUGUGAUCAGAGAGGUCAUUUUUCCACAAAAACAAGCUAAUAUAUGUCAAUGGGCCUGAUGAAGUUGAGUUUUUUUUUUACUUUUGGGAGAAAUGGAACAUAUAUAAGUGAAGAAAAGAAAAGAAAAGGGGAAAAUAUAACAGACACAGUACAUGGACACCAAUAUGAGCAAGUUAAGACAAGAAUCUGCCAUGGAAAGAAACUGUUAAAAGAAGAAAAAAAAGAUGAAGAAAUAGACUUUUACUUGUGUUACAUAUAUGUACAUUUUAUUAUACUAUUAACAAAUUUUUAAAAUAUAUUCUGUUACCAAAAAUGAGAAUUUAUUAUCAAUCAUACCAUUUUAAGAAAACAUGCAUGUAUAGAUAUUGGUUUAAUUUUAAGCUGAUGGGAUGGUUAAGGGGUUCUCAUUUUAAUGAUACAGUUUGUAAGCGUUCUUAAAAAUCCUUAAAAAACCCAUGUCAAAGUGCAAACUGUAAAGCUGUAGAUUCCUUAUUGAUUAAAACAUCUGCAUUCAGACGAAAUGCUCAAAUGAUGCAAUAGAAUUGAUACCAUGAAAGUUUUAUUUCAAAUGAAUAAUUCACAUGAUGACAUGUUUUGUUCAUAUAUUCUACAUGUUAUUAGAACCCCUCAGUUAUUCUGAAAUUGAGUGCAAGAGGUUAUUAAAGGUUCAAACAGGGACAGAGUCAAUGCAAAGACUUGAAAACUGGUAUAAGCUGCUUUGCUAGGCAAAAAGCAUUAAGAAGUAAGAGCAGACUGAAUCAACACAUAGUCAGAAUUUUGUGUCCAGGUAGGGAGACAUAUCUUCCUGCAAAUUGUUACUUUGUGAGUAAGGGUGUCAGUCUUAUACAAAUUAGGGUUGGAGCUCAUUUCUGAUUAUCAUGAUUUCAUAGCCUGAAUAUGCAUAUGACCUGCAACUGGAAGUAAAGCAACCAUCAUCCAAACAUAU